CUCUUCCACUCUUCCGCUCACUGAGUUUAGCAGUCAUCAACCAUUUCGUGCUUCGACCCUCUCGUCUCUCUCGCCUUCAAAAUCCCCUUCCUUCUUCCUCAGGUUAACAUGUUGUCUGUGGGAAUAUUUGUUGAGCUAGAGGAUGAGAGAGCUCCAUGAAUUCACAGCUCAGGUUCCGUCCAACAACAGUACAAUAAUGAGUAUAAAUCCUAGCAAUGGUACUCUCGGCCCAAUUUGCAUCUGGG